rnacentral:rRNA from 1 species
UAGGGAAUCUUCCGCAAUGGGCGAAAGCCUGACGGAGCCACGCCGCGUGAGUGAUGAAGGUCUUCGGUUCGUAAAACUCUGUUAUUAGGGAAGAACAAAUGUGUAAGUAACUAUGCACGUCUUGACGGUACCUAAUCAGAAAGCCCCGGCUAACUACGUGCCAGCAGCCGCGGUAAUACGUAGGUGGCAAGCGUUAUCCGGAAUUAUUGGGCGUAAAGCGCGCGUAGGCGGUUUUUUAAGUCUGAUGUGAAAGACCACGGCACAACCAUGGAGGGUCAGUGGAAGCUGGAAAGCAUGAGUGCAGAAGAGGAAAGUGGAAUUCCAUGUGUAGCGGUGAAAUGCACAGAGAUGAGGAGGAACACCAGUGGCGAAGGCGACUGUCUGGUCUGUAACUGACGCUGAUGUGCGAAGGCGUGGGGAUCAAACAGG